GUGGCCGAUUACACGCCAACCUAGAAUCCACAAUGUUGUUGGUUGAUUAAGACAAUUUGAUGUUGAUUAAAGAUGUCAAAAACCGCUGAGGAGUGUGUAAUAACUCACAUGUUGAAUCAACUAACUCCGAAAAUGGAUGUCGGGGAAGUACAUGAC
rnacentral:rRNA from 2 species